AGUGAACGCCGGCGGUAAGCCUAACACAUGCAAGUCGAACGGCAGCACAGUAAGAGCUUGCUCUUACGGGUGGCGAGUGGCGGACGGGUGAGGAAUACAUCGGAAUCUACUUUUUCGUGGGGGAUAACGUAGGGAAACUUACGCUAAUACCGCAUACGACCUACGGGUGAAAGCAGGGGAUCUUCGGACCUUGCGCGAUUGAAUGAGCCGAUGUCGGAUUAGCUAGUUGGCGGGGUAAAGGCCCACCAAGGCGACGAUCCGUAGCUGGUCUGAGAGGAUGAUCAGCCACACUGGAACUGAGACACGGUCCAGACUCCUACGGGAGGCAGCAGUGGGGAAUAUUGGACAAUGGGCGCAAGCCUGAUCCAGCCAUACCGCGUGGGUGAAGAAGGCCUUCGGGUUGUAAAGCCCUUUUGUUGGGAAAGAAAAGCAGCAGGUUAAUACCCCGCUGUUCUGACGGUACCCAAAGAAUAAGCACCGGCUAACUUCGUG
rnacentral:rRNA from 1 species